rnacentral:rRNA from 1 species
GACGAACGCUGGCGGCGUGCCUAAUACAUGCGAGUCGAACGCUGAAGGAGGAGCUUGCUCUUCUGGAUGAGUUGCGAACGGGUGAGUAACGCGUAGGUAACCUGCCUGGUAGCGGGGGAUAACUAUUGGAAACGAUAGCUAAUACCGCAUAACAGUAGAUGUUGCAUGACAUUUGCUUAAAAGGUGCAAUUGCACCACUACCAGAUGGACCUGCGUUGUAUUAGCUAGUUGGUGGGGUAACGGCUCACCAAGGCGACGAUACAUAGCCGACCUGAGAGGGUGAUCGGCCACACUGGGACUGAGACACGGCCCAGACUCCUACGGGAGGCAGCAGUAGGGAAUCUUCGGCAAUGGACGGAAGUCUGACCGAGCAACGCCGCGUGAGUGAAGAAGGUUUUCGGAUCGUAAAGCUCUGUUGUAAGAGAAGAACGAGUGUGAGAGUGGAAAGUUCACACUGUGACGGUAUCUUACCAGAAAGGGACGGCUAACUACGUG